rnacentral:tRNA from 2 species
CAUUAGAUGACUGAAAGCAAGUUCUGGUCUCUUAAACCAUUUAAUAGUACAGUAGCGAGUACUUCUAAUGA